GUUCUCAUAUUAUACGAGAAACAUUCUUUUUAUAAUAGUAAGACUAUGGCAUGCUAUAUCGAUUCUGACAUCGAUAGGACGUCUCUUAAGAGCUAGUAUCUAUAUUUAUUUGAUUCACUGCCCUUGAAUUCAUACCGUGUGAAUUCAUCGCAGAAACAAGCCGCACUAUACCUUAUUGUUAUUUAAACGUAAAGAGUUAAAAUGUCAGUUUAUAAGAUUGUAUUAACACUUGCAAUACUCGGUGCAGUGAGCAACGCACAAAGACCUUUUUACGCCGGAUUACGAGCGAUCGGAUAUCCCAAAGGAGCAUCGAAUGUCCUCACGAAUAGAUUCGGAGAAACUGCAAAUUUACCUAUUGAAGCCAGAGGAGACGGUGCUUUGAUAAAUAGAUUUAAUCAAAUGCCAGAAGACCAGAGACCUUUUUGGUAUCUCAAUAGGCGUCAAUAUGAUGAAUUAAGAAGGAAUCCCCAGACUUACAAGCAAAGACCUAAUUUGUUUGUAGACAGAAAUAAUUCUUAAACUAGAAGGCAUAAAAUCGUGAUUGGAUAUUCAAACCCGUAUUGCUUAUGGGAAAUUUGUAAUUUUUUUGCCAUUAUUGUGAGUCGUUAAUAAGAGAACUAAUAAAUUAGUAAAUUGUUUUGUAAUACAGUUCAUAAUUUUUUUGGUAACUAUACUAAUUAUACUAACUAUACUACUUAUUGCUGUUCGUGUAAAAUCUUACCAUCCCAAAGUUUGUAAAUUAAAUUCGUUUUAAUAUUCAAAAGAUAAAUUUUUUUAGGAAUAUUUAAUAUAGCAUUCAAGUAAAACCUAUUCUUUAUUGAUAUAAUGCAGCCCUAAAUAAGACACAAUAAAGUUAAAAUUUACAGAUAAUUAAUCUUACGAGUUAAAUUGGUGGACAGUAGCUUUAUUUCAGUGGAUGUUCUACGUCAGUUCUAAAAAAUAAAAUAAAAUUAACUUUGUAAAAUUAGACCGGUUUUUGAACAACGCAAUAAACGUGUGUUUAAUACAAGUUUUAUCCUCAAGUUUAUUACUGGGAGUUAAAAUGGAUCUUCGGAUGUGUUAGUACCACAGAAUAUGAAUGAUUCUAUACAUAUAUGAAUGUGUAAAUAGUGUCUACAUAUUUUAUGAAUAAAAAAUGGGGAAAUUGUACUUGAUAAACUGAGGAUGCGUACGGGUAUGAAUCUAUUUAACAGUUUUGCAAAAAUUUAUUGUAUUAUAUAGAAAUCUAUGUUUCGCAAUGAACUGUUAUUAUACUAAAAAAAAUGUUUUCUGCAUUUGAAUAACAUUUAUAUGUUAAUUAUUAUUUUUGGUUUACAUGGACAUAUUUUAAGUCUCAAUAAGAGUACCUAUCUCGAAAAUGCUUUGUAUAAUUCCCUAAUUCCUCCAACGCUUUACGUCAUACGGCCUUAUGUAUGUAUAUCCAAUCAAGAUGGUUCACAGUCGACAGAUGAAUUCUGUAAGAAAAUCGAUGCCUUUAAUUUUAGGCAAUACUUUAGAGAUAGCGUUAUGACCGUAAUAUUUGAAAUAAAUUUAUAAAAAGAUUUGUUACUUUAUUAACACGUUUUGUGUUAUAAGUUUUGAAUUUUGAUAGUACACUUUCUUUUCACAAUAAAACCAGUAUUUUUCUUUUA